rnacentral:rRNA from 1 species
CAUCGCCGCGGUAAUACGUAGGGUGCAAGCGUUAAUCGGAAUUACUGGGCGUAAAGCGUGCGCAGGCGGUUAUAUAAGACAGAUGUGAAAUCCCCGGGCUCAACCUGGGAACUGCAUUUGUGACUGUAUAGCUAGAGUACGGCAGAGGGGGAUGGAAUUCCGCGUGUAGCAGUGAAAUGCGUAGAUAUGCGGAGGAACACCGAUGGCGAAGGCAAUCCCCUGGGCCUGUACUGACGCUCAUGCACGAAAGCGUGGGGAGCAAACAGGAUUAGAUACCCCAGUAGUCCCUGUCUCUUAUACA